CGCCGAUCGAGUCGAACACGAGCGUGAGCAGGGAGAUGCAACCGAGCGCAAGCGGCGAGUCGUCGGAGGCGGCGGUUCUCGCCGCCCUGACCUCGAGGGGAUGGCGAAUCAAGGAGGACGACGAGGAGAUCCGAGAUCUGAUUCGUAGCCGCGAGACCGCAGAAGCCGUGGCAUCGGAGCUACUGAAUAUGGAUUUGAGGUCAUUCGGUGGGAAGUCGCUCCCCGAUCCCACCUCCCUCAAGAAACUAGCCCAUCUCCAAGGCCCCAAGAUCUUGCAGGUAGUUUCUGUUAGGGAUAUAUAUCAAAGCAGCAUCGAUGGUUCAUUUAAGACAUCACAGCGUAAUCGACGUCUCCUAAGAUUUGCUCUAACGGAUGGGCACAAUGAAGUAAUUGCAAUUGAGUAUUCUCCAAUUUCAACUAUCUCCGACGAGAUAUCUCCUGGCACUAAGGUUUGUCUGGAGAGCAGAAUCCCAGCACACAGUGGUAUAUUAUGUUUGAACCCCAAAGUUAUAACUGUAUUGGGAGGUUUAGUCCAAUCUCUUCACGAAGAAUGGCAAAUUAGUCAGAAAUUUUCAGGCUUUUCCAGAGCAUCUCUCAAGUUAUCCAAAAAUGAUGAUGGCACUGGUCCUCCCCCUUUUGAGAAGUUACAGAUUGAGGAAUAUCCAAACAAGGGCACACAACUGCACAGACAUCAUGGAACUAAUGAUAGAAAAACACAAGGAGAUCAAAGUCGUUUGAUUGAUAAAAGGGAUCCUAGAGAUGCAAAAGUGAAUAAAGUUGCAGAUAAUCCGGAAACAGAUGGUGCUGAGGAUAAACCUGCUAGCUCAGAAGCCAGACCAAAAGAAGUGAGUGAAGCUGUUCCAGUUCAAAAUCAAGCUGCUGCACAGAAACUUCUGCAGAAAAUGAGUCAACCUGCUCACAAAGAAAUGCAUUCUAGAGUUCACAAACACAAAUUUAAGGCCAAACAGGAGGAAGCCGCGGUCUUCACUUUAGAUGAAUGGGAAAGGACAAAAGGGAUGAAGUUGAAGCCCAUGGUGACAGGUGAAAAGCAAGAUACUAGCUGUGAUGAGGAGCUUGCUCGACAGCUACAAAAUCAAUUAGAUUUAGAGGAUUUUAAUGCAAGCACUGGACAUUCAGAAGCUGAGCAGAUUAGGAGGAGUAUGUUUAGCUUUGGUGGUGCUGAAGAGAGGAACACUGAUGGUAGAGGUGAGUUCAGAGGACGGGGAAGAGGAAGAGGCAGGGGAAAAAGAAGAUUUGGUUAACCUCCCAUUUUAUAAUUUUACUCUGCUGGGACAGAUGGUUUUUGCACUUAUAAUUUUCUUCACAUCCACUGUGAUUACUACACAUCAGCAGUUCUCAAGAGCCAUGGAAUAUUUUUAUCAUUAUCUUAUGAGGAGGUCGGCAUCUCCUUGGUGACUUAAAUCUCAAUUGACGACGUGACUGCCUCAUCUGCUUCCUAAUUGUGAUAACGUGGAAGUUUUCGGUUGUCUUGAAAUUUUCAGUUGGGAAUAAGGUAUUUCUUUGCACCACCACAUGUUUUUGAGGUUCAUAUGGCACUUUCAAGUUAAUGGGGCUGCAAACAACCAAAUGGCCUAUGUUAUAUGUGGAGAGUGGUUUGUUGAAAUGUAACUGGUUGACUUUUAUUGUAGGAAGGAAGCUGAUCAUUGGAGAUACAGAUCUGUUUGUUUCCCUAUUAAGCUUAAUCUCAUGAAGUAAGCUUCCCUGUCUUGUGAUUUGUAUGAUUGUUCUUGUGAUUUGUCGUCUUACCUUUAGAAUGAUCAUAGAAAAUCUUUUGAGAACACUAAUUUAUAUUCCUCGAUUAUAUUUCA